rnacentral:rRNA from 1 species
GUUGAACGCUGGCGGCAUGCCUAAUACAUGCAAGUCGAGCGACCAGACGAGGUGCUUGCUCGUCUGACGUUGGCGGCGGGCGGGUGAGUCACCCGUGGAUGCCCUACCUAUAAGACUGGGAUAACUUCAGGAAACCGGAGCUCAUACCGGAUCAUAUAUUGAAUCGCGUGGUUCAUUGGUGCUCGACGGUUUUGCUGUCACUUAUAGAUGGAUCCGCGCUGCAUUAGCUAGUUCGUAAGGUAACGGCCUACCAAGGCAACGAUGCGUAGCCGACCUGCGAGGGUGAACGGCCACACUGGAACUGAGACAAGGGCCAAACUCCUACGGGAGGCAGCAGGUGGGAAUCUUCCGCAAUUGGCGGAAGCCUGACGGCGCAAAGGCGCGGGAGGGAUGAAGGUCCUCGGAGCGGAAAACUCUGUUAGGAGGGAAGAACAAAUGUGGAAGUAACAAUGCACUUCGAGACGGUAACUAGUCAGAAAGACACGGCUUACUACGGG